rnacentral:rRNA from 1 species
AGGGCGCACGGUGGAUGCCUUGGCACUAGAAGCCGAUGAAGGACGUUACUAACGACGAUAUGCUUUGGGGAGCUGUAAGUAAGCUUUGAUCCAGAGAUUUCCGAAUGGGGAAACCCAGCAUGAGUUAUGUCAUGUUAUCGAUAUGUGAAUACAUAGCAUAUCAGAAGGCACACCCGGAGAACUGAAACAUCUUAGUACCCGGAGGAAGAGAAAGAAAAUUCGAUUCCCUUAGUAGCGGCGAGCGAAACGGGAAGAGCCCAAACCAACAAGCUUGCUUGUUGGGGUUGUAGGACACUCUAUACGGAGUUACAAAGGACGACAUUAGACGAAUCAUCUGGAAAGAUGAAUCAAAGAAGGUAAUAAUCCUGUAGUCGAAAAUGUUGUCUCUCUUGAGUGGAUCCUGAGUACGACGGAGCACGUGAAAUUCCGUCGGAAUCUGGGAGGACCAUCUCCUAAGGCUAAAUACUCUCUAGUGACCGAUAGUGAACCAGUACCGUGAGGGAAAGGUGAAAAGCACCCCGGAAGGGGAGUGAAAUAGAACCUGAAACCGUGUGCUUACAAGUAGUCAGAGCCCGUUAAUGGGUGAUGGCGUGCCUUUUGUAGAAUGAACCGGCGAGUUACGAUUUGAUGCAAGGUUAAGCAGUAAAUGUGGAGCCGUAGCGAAAGCGAGUCUGAAUAGGGCGUUUAGUAUUUGGUCGUAGACCCGAAACCAGGUGAUCUACCCUUGGUCAGGUUGAAGUUCAGGUAACACUGAAUGGAGGACCGAACCGACUUACGUUGAAAAGUGAGCGGAUGAACUGAGGGUAGCGGAGAAAUUCCAAUCGAACCUGGAGAUAGCUGGUUCUCUCCGAAAUAGCUUUAGGGCUAGCCUCAAGUGAUGAUUAUUGGAGGUAGAGCACUGUUUGGACGAGGGGCCCCUCUCGGGUUACCGAAUUCAGACAAACUCCGAAUGCCAAUUAAUUUAACUUGGGAGUCAGAACAUGGGUGAUAAGGUCCGUGUUCGAAAGGGAAACAGCCCAGACCACCAGCUAAGGUCCCAAAAUAUAUGUUAAGUGGAAAAGGAUGUGGCGUUGCCCAGACAACUAGGAUGUUGGCUUAGAAGCAGCCAUCAUUUAAAGAGUGCGUAAUAGCUCACUAGUCGAGUGACACUGCGCCGAAAAUGUACCGGGGCUAAACAUAUUACCGAAGCUGUGGAUUGUCCUUUGGACAAUGGUAGGAGAGCGUUCUAAGGGCGUUGAAGCAUGAUCGUAAGGACAUGUGGAGCGCUUAGAAGUGAGAAUGCCGGUGUGAGUAGCGAAAGACGGGUGAGAAUCCCGUCCACCGAUUGACUAAGGUUUCCAGAGGAAGGCUCGUCCGCUCUGGGUUAGUCGGGUCCUAAGCUGAGGCCGACAGGCGUAGGCGAUGGAUAACAGGUUGAUAUUCCUGUACCACCUAUAAUCGUUUUAAUCGAUGGGGGGACGCAGUAGGAUAGGCGAAGCGUGCGAUUGGAUUGCACGUCUAAGCAGUAAGGCUGAGUAUUAGGCAAAUCCGGUACUCGUUAAGGCUGAGCUGUGAUGGGGAGAAGACAUUGUGUCUUCGAGUCGUUGAUUUCACACUGCCGAGAAAAGCCUCUAGAUAGAAAAUAGGUGCCCGUACCGCAAACCGACACAGGUAGUCAAGAUGAGAAUUCUAAGGUGAGCGAGCGAACUCUCGUUAAGGAACUCGGCAAAAUGACCCCGUAACUUCGGGAGAAGGGGUGCUCUUUAGGGUUAACGCCCAGAAGAGCCGCAGUGAAUAGGCCCAAGCGACUGUUUAUCAAAAACACAGGUCUCUGCUAAACCGUAAGGUGAUGUAUAGGGGCUGACGCCUGCCCGGUGCUGGAAGGUUAAGAGGAGUGGUUAGCUUCUGCGAAGCUACGAAUCGAAGCCCCAGUAAACGGCGGCCGUAACUAUAACGGUCCUAAGGUAGCGAAAUUCCUUGUCGGGUAAGUUCCGACCCGCACGAAAGGCGUAACGAUUUGGGCACUGUCUCAACGAGAGACUCGGUGAAAUCAUAGUACCUGUGAAGAUGCAGGUUACCCGCGACAGGACGGAAAGACCCCGUGGAGCUUUACUGUAGCCUGAUAUUGAAAUUCGGCACAGCUUGUACAGGAUAGGUAGGAGCCUUUGAAACGUGAGCGCUAGCUUACGUGGAGGCGCUGGUGGGAUACUACCCUAGCUGUGUUGGCUUUCUAACCCGCACCACUUAUCGUGGUGGGAGACAGUGUCAGGCGGGCAGUUUGACUGGGGCGGUCGCCUCCUAAAAGGUAACGGAGGCGCUCAAAGGUUCCCUCAGAAUGGUUGGAAAUCAUUCAUAGAGUGUAAAGGCAUAAGGGAGCUUGACUG